UACGAAGGGGGCUAGCGUUGCUCGGAAUUACUGGGCGUAAAGGGCGCGUAGGCGGAUAGUUUAGUCAGAGGUAAAAGCCCAGGGCUCAACCUUGGAACUGCCUUUGAUACUGGCUAUCUUGAGUACGGGAGAGGUGUGUGGAACUCCGAGUGUAGAGGUGAAAUUCGUAGAUAUUCGGAAGAACACCAGUGGCGAAGGCGACACACUGGCCCGUUACUGACGCUGAGGAGCGAAAGCCAGGGGAGCAAACGGG
rnacentral:rRNA from 1 species